rfam:Thermoplasmatales archaeon DG-70-1 WOR1_52_54_2578, whole genome shotgun sequence.
GCGGCCGUAGUCUAGUGGUAGGACUCAAGCCCCCCAAGCUUGCGACGCGGGUUCGAAUCCCGCCGGUCGCA